rnacentral:rRNA from 1 species
CGUUACUAACGACGAUAUGCUUUGGGUAGCUGUAAGUAAGCGUUGAUCCAGAGAUUUCCGAAUGGGGGAACCCAGCAUGAGUUAUGUCAUGUUAUCGACAUGUGAAUUCAUAGCAUGUCAGAAGGCAGACCCGGAGAACUGAAACAUCUUAGUACCCGGAGGAAGAGAAAGAAAAAUCGAUUCCCUGAGUAGCGGCGAGCGAAACGGGAAGAGCCCAAACCAACAAGCUUGCUUGUUGGGGUUGUAGGACACUCUAUACGGAGUUACAAAAGAACAUGUUAGACGAAUCAUCUGGAAAGAUGAAUCAAAGAAGGUAAUAAUCCUGUAGUCGAAAACAUAUUCUCUCUUGAGUGGAUCCUGAGUACGACGGAGCACGUGAAAUUCCGUCGGAAUCUGGGAGGACCAUCUCCUAAGGCUAAAUACUUUCUAGUGACCGAUAGUGAACCAGUACCGUGAGGGAAAGGUGAAAAGUACCCCGGAAGGGGAGUGAAAGAGAACUUGAAACCGUGUGCUUACAAGUAGUCAGAGCCCGUUAAUGGGUGAUGGCGUGCCUUUUGUAGAAUGAACCGGCGAGUUACGAUCUGAUGCAAGGUUAAGCAGCAAAUGUGGAGCCGCAGCGAAAGCGAGUCUGAAUAGGGCGUUGAGUAUUUGGUCGUAGACCCGAAACCAGGUGAUCUACCCUUGGUCAGGUUGAAGUUCAGGUAACACUGAAUGGAGGACCGAACCGACUUACGUUGAAAAGUGAGCGGAUGAACUGAGGGUAGCGGAGAAAUUCCAAUCGAAC